rnacentral:rRNA from 1 species
CUCUGUGACUCCUACGGGAGGCAGCAGUGGGAAUUUUGGACAAUGGGCGAAAGCCUGAUCCAGCAAUGCCGCGUGUGUGAAGAAGGCCUUCGGGUUGUAAAGCACUUUCAGUUGUGAGGAAGGUGGUGUCGUUAAUAGCGGCAUCAUUUGACGUUAGCAACAGAAGAAGCACCGGCUAACUCCGUGCCAGCAGCCGCGGUAAUACGGAGGGUGCGAGCGUUAAUCGGAAUUACUGGGCGUAAAGCGCAUGCAGGUGGUUUGUUAAGUCAGAUGUGAAAGCCCGGGGCUCAACCUCGGAACUGCAUUUGAAACUGGCAGACUAGAGUACUGUAGAGGGGGUAGAAUUUCAGGUGUAGCGGUGAAAUGCGUAGAGAUCUGAAGGAAUACCGGUGGCGAAGGCGGCCCCCUGGACAGAUACUGACACUCAGAUGCGAAAGCGUGGGGAGCAAACAGGAUUAGAUACCCUGGUAG